UGGCCAGUGGUGACUAGACCACUGCACAAUCUGAGUUCUGGGAACCAGGUGAUGGAGUGUGUUGUAACAACAGAGUGAGACCA
rnacentral:snoRNA from 1 species